AGGAAUAAUAUGGGAUGUAACAUUUUGAAAGUGAUAAGAAAAUGGACCUUGGGCCUAGCUCAAGAGCUGAGUAGUACCCAAGACCAUAUAAAGCGACCAAACACCUCAAACAUAGUCGUUGUGGGACACUAACACCUCCCCCCGCCCCGGACACGCCCGUGAUUGGGCAUUUAGAGCAUAAAUAGUAUAAGAUGGUGUUCCAACAUCGGGUGAAAUAAGAAUUGGGUGAACCUGACUCUGAUACCAUUAUAAGUGGAUAUUAGGCCUAACUCAACCCAAAAACUAGCUCAAGAGGUGAAGAUUUUUCAAGACCAUAUAAAGAGACCAAACACCUCACCCGUAGCUAAUGUCGGACACUAACAGAAGGGUUAUACAGAACCGGGAGUGGAAGGAGGUGGAUGAGUUUUGUUAUAAACUCUAUUCUUGGCUUGGAAGGGAUAUCGGGGACAACGCAUCGUGUGGAGAGGGGAACAAAUGAAGAACUUCUUAUUAUUUGCUUGAAUUAGCUGAAGAAGGAGAUAAAGAUAGGUGUAGAUGAAAAGUGCACGACACCAAGGUACAAAAGAAAGUUGCAUUCUUGACUUGGUGUAUUGUGUGGAAAUAAAAAGGGACACUUUUAUAAAAUGACAUACUAUAUUAGAGAAGAUUUUAUUGGUGGUAUAUUUGGGCAUUUCACUUCUUUCAAAGAGAUGGUUAUUCAAAAAUGAAAGUAUUCAAUGGAUGUGCUUUGUUAAAGUUCUAGCUCUGUAAAGGAUACAACACAUUGAAAUAAAGGAAUUGGUGAAUCUCUCCAUCAGACAGAUUUAGCUUGUUGCUGGAUUGAAAAUUUUACCAUCUCGCUACCUUCACGAGAAGAAUUCUCACAUUCUUUUUCUUUUUGGAUUAGUCUUCUAAUCCGGAGUACUCUCUAAAAUUGUACAGUAAAAUUGAUUCCUUCUAUGUUUACGUUUUUUUAGAUAAGAAGCAUUAUUGAAAAAUCGAAAGGUUAGGCUAUGAGAAGUUGCUUGCCGUCUACUUUGUGAGCCUUCAUUGCUUCAUUCUCUAACUUUUCUUUUUUUCUUUCAUCCUUGAGGUUGUAAAAGGGAGAAAGAGGCUGCUAUCUAUUAAGAGUUAUUUGAAAUUGUAUCGCUUUUGGGCCUGGGAACCCCCCAUCUAUCUAUCCUAUUGCUUUUAUCGUUUAAUAUUGUAAUUUUGUCGUGUCAGACCAUAUGUUUUUAACUGCUAAUAGGUUUUAGUAGUUGGUUUGAAACAAUAUAUCAGAAUAUCCCAUGUUGAUAUUUGUUCCUUAUCAAAAUAAUGAACUAUGACAUAUAGGUUUGGAGUACUAUAGAUGGCUGACUUCCUUAAGUACCACGACUCCUACUAAAUGCCUUACGUAAUUUGGGUAAAAGAAAACUAGCUUUUAGAGUGGAUUCCUUCCAUAAAGUAAAGAAUUGACUUACAUUCAUUAGGUAUACUUCAUUGAGCAGGGAACUUUUGUUCCUACCUUGCAUCAUACAAUGUAAGGAGCAGGAGGAAAUAUAGUUUGUUUCACUAUUCUGAAACCUUAUGUUUGUUAUUUCACAUUGUCACAAGUUGGAGGAUACCGGAGAUAAGCAAAAAAAAUAAGAAAUAACAGAGAGCUAUAACUUGAUGUAAUCUUUGGUCUGUAUGGAUUGAAAGAAAUAUGUGAAUGUGUCGCACUCAAGGGUGUGACUUAGCUAUCAAUGAAGUGGGUGUGACCAAGGUUCAAAUCCUAGUGGAGACGAAAAAAAGCUUGCCAGACUGUUUCUGGAGCAGCUGGAGUUCAGCAGUGGUUAUUGAUUCCUGGAUUUCUUUUUAUUCCAUAUAAGCUCAAAGGGUAAAUUUUCUAUUGUCCUGUGGUUCUGAAGGCAGUCCUUGUAAUUGCUCAAGGCAAGAUGGAGAAUAUGCUGUAUGCAGAGGAGCUUGUCAGGGAAUUUCUAGUAUUCAGAGGCUUUACGAACACCCUGCAGGCUUUUGACAAAGAGUUGGGUACUGAUAUUGGCAAAGU